GUGCUUAACACAUGCAAGUCGAGCGAUGAAGCUCCUUCGGGAGUGGAUUAGCGGCGGACGGGUGAGUAACACGUGGGUAACCUACCUCAAAGAGGGGGAUAGCCUCCCGAAAGGGAGAUUAAUACCGCAUAAUAAUCAGUUUUCACAUGGAGACUGAUUUAAAGGAGUAAUCCGCUUUGAGGGAUGGACCCGCGGCGCAUUAGCUAGUUGGUAGGGUAAGCGCCUACCAAGGCGACGAUGCGUAGCCGACCUGAGAGGGUGAUCGGCCACAUUGGAACUGAGAGACUAUCCAGACUCCUACGGGAGGCAGCAGUGGGGAAUAUUGCACAAUGGGCGAAAGCCUGAUGCAGCAACGCCGCGUGAGUGAAGAAGGUUUUCGGAUUGUAAAGCUCUGUCUUUGGGGACGAUAAUGACGGUACCCAAGGAGGAAGCCACGGCUAACUACGUGCCAGCAGCCGCGGUAAUACGUAGGUG
rnacentral:rRNA from 1 species